rnacentral:rRNA from 1 species
CAUGCAGUCGAACGGCAGCACGGGUUGCUUGCACCUGGUGGCGCGUGGCGCACGGGUGCGUCAUCCAUCGGCAUGUCCCUGGUCGUGGGGGCUCGCUCGGCGCAAGCCGGCUUCAUCCCGCAUCCGCUCUGUAGGCGGCAAGCGGGGGCCCUUCGGGCCUCGUGCUCCAAGCGCAGCCGAUGUCAGCUUAGCUAGUUGGUGGGGUAAAAGCUCACCAAGGCGACGAUCUGUAGCUGGUCUGAGAGGACGACCAGCCACACUGGGACUGAGACACGGCCCAGACUCCUACGGGAGGCAGCAGUGGGGAAUUUUGGACAAUGGGCGAAAGCCUGAUCCAGCAAUGCCGCAUGUGUGAAGAAGGCCUUCGGGUUGUAAAGCACUUUUGUCCGGGAAGAAAUCCUUUGGGUUAAUACCUCGGGGGGAUGACGGUACCGGAAGAAUAAGCAUCGGCUAACUACGUGCCAGCAGCCCCGGUAAUACGUAGGGUGCAAGCGUUAAUCGGAAUUACUGGGCGUAAAGCGUGCGCAGGCGGUUUUGUAAGACGGAUGUGAAAUCCCCGGACUUAACCUGGGAACUGCAUUCGUGACUGCAUGGCUAGAGUAUGGCAGAGGGGGGUAGAAUUCCACGUGUAGCAGUGAAAUGCGUAGAGAUGUGGAGGAAUACCGAUGGCGAAGGCAGCCCCCUGGGCCAAUACUGACGCUCAUGCACGAAAGCGUGGGGAGCAAACAGGAUUAGAUACUCUGGUAGUCCACGCCCUAAACGAUGUCAACUAGUUGUUGGGGAUUCGUUUCCGUAGUAACGAAGCUAACGCGUGAAGUUGACCGCCUGGGGAGUACGGUCGCAAGAUUAAAACUCAAAGGAAUUGACGGGGACCCGCACAAGCGGUGGAUGAUGUGGAUUAAUUCGAUGCAACGCGAGAAACCUUACCUACCCUUGACAUGUACGGAAUCCUGCUGAGAGGUGGGAGUGCUCGAAAGAGAACCGUAACACAGGUGCUGCAUGGCCGUCGUCAGCUCGUGUCGUGAGAUGUUGGGUUAAGUCCCGCAACGAGCGCAACCCUUGUCCUUAGUUGCUACGCAAGAGCACUCUAGGGAGACUGCCGGUGACAAACCGGAGGAAGGUGGGGAUGACGUCAAGUCCUCAUGGCCCUUAUGGGUAGGGCUUCACACGUCAUACAAUGGUCGGUACAGAGGGCUGCCAAACCGCGAGGUGGAGCUAACCCCAGAAAACCGAUCGUAGUCCGGAUCGCAGUCUGCAACUCGACUGCGUGAAGCUGGAAUCGCUAGUAAUCGCGGAUCAGCAUGUCGCGGUGAAUACGUUCCCGGGUCUUGUACACACCGCCCGUCUCACCAUGGGAGUGGGUUUUGCCAGAAGUAGUAGCCUAACCGUAAGGAGGCGCUACCACGGCAGAUCA